ACUAAUAUCUUUUUACUAACAAAAAGAAAAUAAAUAUAAGAUAUAUAUUAAUUCUCAUGAUAUAUAAACACGCAUUUGUAUUUGCCGCUUCGAGUGCACCUGCUGCGCGACAAUCGAUCUUCUUGAAUUGCUACUUUCGCGCGAAUUGGCAAUAUUGGCAAUAGUCUGAUAUUGUCAACUUUUCACGUCACAAUUGCACACAACAGUUUUCGCCCUCGUCGCGGACGGACACGGAAAUUUCGCGAGUGAAAAUCUCGUUGUGUAUUGUCGCGAAUAUAUAUACAUAUACCGAAUACGUUCCUAUAGUUGCGUCAAGUGUUUUCGUCGAUCGCGUGUGAUAUAUAUAUAUACAAUGUGUCCACGUAUAUCGUUCCGGAAUUCCUCUACGUACGUGAAUCGCGAUCUUCGCGUGAAAAAGUUCCGGCGUCGAAAAGUCGCGAAAUGGCGUCGUCUCGUUGGCGCGUUGUGCCGUGAUAUGCGUCGUUUCGAAACAGAGACGCAACCUGAGCACCGGAUGCUUGCUUUCUUAGUCGCGAUGCGUGUGCGUAGUCACGAUUCUCGUUCUCCGGGAGUGCGGUCGUCGUUCGAAAAUAGUCGGCUAUCGUCGCUGACGUAUCGUCGCGUCUAUUUUAAACGUGCGCGUAUGUCGGCCGAUUCUUUCGAGCGCGUAAGUCGAAAGUUAUUUCUUUAUUUAAAGCUUCGGAUCGAUAAUGGAAGCGGAAUUGCCGCGCGUGGAACGCAACAGCUAAUCGCACCGGUAUUUGCAGGCGGCAUUUUUCUUUCAUCGAGGGAACCUAAAGUAGUAGCAUUGCGAUACACAGUGCGAUUCACGCGUCGUGUCGGGAGUGCCGUGUAAAGUUUCGCGUGUCGGGAGUGCCGUGUAAAGUGUCGGGCGAUCGUAAUUAUUCGCGUUUUCGCGAGUGCCGCGAGUGCUAAGGAUAAAGAGAGGAGGAGGAGGCCUAGGGAGGCAUCGGGCAACAGCGGGUCAACUGUGAGAUCAAUGUAGCUGUGUACUACAACUUCGUUAUUGCACGUAUCGGUGAUUGGUGCUCUAGACUGGAAGAAUUCAAUUUCCUCCUUUUGAUCAACUCAUUGCCAAUCUACGUAGUCAGCUCCACUAUUAUGCAUCGAUCGAAAGACGACGAGAAAAAUUUUUAUACAUCGAAGAUCUACCGCGAAAUCACGGAUGCGUCCCUGCGUUUGCAACAGCGAAAAGGAUAUCACUCU